GAUGAACGCUAGCGGGAGGCUUAACACAUGCAAGCCGAGGGGUAUAGUUCUUUCGGGAACUUUAGACCGGCUCACGGUUGCGUAACGCGUAUUCAACUUGCCCUACUGAAAAGGAUAGCCCUUCGAAAGGAGGAUUAAUACUUUAUAACAGAUUUAAUUGCAUCAUUAGAUUUUGAAAGAUUUAUUGCAGUAGGAUAGGCAUGCGUAAUAUUAGUUAGUUGGUGAGGUAACGGCUCACUAAGACGAUGAUUUUUAGGGGGCCUGAGAGGUUGAACCCCCACACUUGUACUGAGACACGGACCAGACUCCUACGGGAGGCAGCAGUGAGGACUAUUAGGUAAAGGCUGUAGGUCGGCUCCAGCCAGCCCGUGUGUAGGAUGUCGACGUUAUUGGUUGUAAACUCCUUUUAUCUGGGACUAAACGUAAUAACGUGUAAGUAGCUGACGGUACCAGAAGAAUAAGCACCGGCUAACUCCGUG
rnacentral:rRNA from 1 species